rnacentral:lncRNA from 1 species
GGAAUGAAAAUGGGGAAAAACGAAAUGGAAACAUCAAGGACAAUGAACUGAACGAAAUUAGAUUGAGAGGAAAUGCAUUAACGAAAAUUAAUGUAAGCUUCAAUACAAAUUCGAAAAUCAAAAGAGAUGAACAAGAGAGAAAUGAACAAAAGCUAGAAUGAGCUCUCAAAUAAAGUUUAAAAUGAAGGAGAGUGGGAGAGUCUUUAGGGGUUUACCCCAUUUUUGCACAAAACCCUAGGCCAAAUUUCACUAAUGGGCCUCUCCAAAAGUNUCCAAAAACGGCCCAAACACUAAUUCUGCCCAAAAAUCCACUAAAACAAAAUUAUAAUUAAAUUCUAAACUAAAAUGAUGAUGUGACAAUUAAAGAAUGAUGUGGCAACUUCCUUGAUGUCCCAAAAUAAUAUUCCAACAAUUUUCCUGUAAUUAAUAAUGCAAAUAAUUAGUCUCGGAUAAUUCAAAUUAAUGAAAAUAAGAAUUUUUAUUCAAAUUAAGCACAAUUAC